UACGUAGGAGGCGAGCGUUGUCCGGAGUUACUGGGCGUAAAGGGUGCGCAGGCGGUGGUGCGCGUGGAUAGAUGAAAUCUCCUGGCUUACCUGGGAGGAUGGUAUCCAGACGGCAUCACUUGAGGGUCGGAGAGGGGCGUGGAAUUCCGGGUGGAGCGGUGAAAUGCGUAGAGAUCCGGAGGAACACCGACGGCGUAGGCAGCGCCCCUGGACGACACCUGACGCUGAGGCACGAAAGCUGGGGGAGCGAACAGG
rnacentral:rRNA from 1 species